UGUAUAAUGGGUCAGCGACUUAUAUUCUGUAGCAAGGUUAACCGAAUAGGGGAGCCGAAGGGAAACCGAGUCUUAACUGGGCGUUAAGUUGCAGGGUAUAGACCCGAAACCCGGUGAUCUAGCCAUGGGCAGGUUGAAGGUUGGGUAACACUAACUGGAGGACCGAACCGACUAAUGUUGAAAAAUUAGCGGAUGACUUGUGGCUGGGGGUGAAAGGCCAAUCAAACCGGGAGAUAGCUGGUUCUCCCCGAAAGCUAUUUAGGUAGCGCCUCGUGAAUUCAUCUCCGGGGGUAGAGCACUGUUUCGGCAAGGGGGUCAUCCCGACUUACCAACCCGAUGCAAACUGCGAAUACCGGAGAAUGUUAUCACGGGAGACACACGGCGGGUGCUAACGUCCGUCGUGAAGAGGGAAACAACCCAGACCGCCAGCUAAGGUCCCAAAGUCAUGGUUAAGUGGGAAACGAUGUGGGAAGGCCCAGACAGCCAGGAUGUUGGCUUAGAAGCAGCCAUCAUUUAAAGAAAGCGUAAUAGCUCACUGGUCGAGUCGGCCUGCGCGGAAGAUGUAACGGGGCUAAACCAUGCACCGAAGCUGCGGCAGCGACGCUUAUGCGUUGUUGGGUAGGGGAGCGUUCUGUAAGCCUGUGAAGGUGUACUGUGAGGUAUGCUGGAGGUAUCAGAAGUGCGAAUGCUGACAUAAGUAACGAUAAAGCGGGUGAAAAGCCCGCUCGCCGGAAGACCAAGGGUUCCUGUCCAACGUUAAUCGGGGCAGGGUGAGUCGACCCCUAAGGCGAGGCCGAAAGGCGUAGUCGAUGGGAAACAGGUUAAUAUUCCUGUACUUGGUGUUACUGCGAAGGGGGGACGGAGAAGGCUAUGUUGGCCGGGCGACGGUUGUCCCGGUUUAAGCGUGUAGGCUGGUUUUCCAGGCAAAUCCGGAAAAUCAAGGCUGAGGCGUGAUGACGAGGCACUACGGUGCUGAAGCAACAAAUGCCCUGCUUCCAGGAAAAGCCUCUAAGCAUCAGGUAACAUCAAAUCGUACCCCAAACCGACACAGGUGGUCAGGUAGAGAAUACCAAGGCGCUUGAGAGAACUCGGGUGAAGGAACUAGGCAAAAUGGUGCCGUAACUUCGGGAGAAGGCACGCUGAUAUGUAGGUGAAGCGACUUGCUCGUGGAGCUGAAAUCAGUCGAAGAUACCAGCUGGCUGCAACUGUUUAUUAAAAACACAGCACUGUGCAAACACGAAAGUGGACGUAUACGGUGUGACGCCUGCCCGGUGCCGGAAGGUUAAUUGAUGGGGUUAGCGGUAACGCGAAGCUCUUGAUCGAAGCCCCGGUAAACGGCGGCCGUAACUAUAACGGUCCUAAGGUAGCGAAAUUCCUUGUCGGGUAAGUUCCGACCUGCACGAAUGGCGUAAUGAUGGCCAGGCUGUCUCCACCCGAGACUCAGUGAAAUUGAACUCGCUGUGAAGAUGCAGUGUACCCGCGGCAAGACGGAAAGACCCCGUGAACCUUUACUAUAGCUUGACACUGAACAUUGAGCCUUGAUGUGUAGGAUAGGUGGGAGGCUUUGAAGUGUGGACGCCAGUCUGCAUGGAGCCGACCUUGAAAUACCACCCUUUAAUGUUUGAUGUUCUAACGUUGGCCCCUGAUCGGGGUUGCGGACAGUGUCUGGUGGGUAGUUUGACUGGGGCGGUCUCCUCCUAAAGAGUAACGGAGGAGCACGAAGGUUGGCUAAUCCUGGUCGGACAUCAGGAGGUUAGUGCAAUGGCAUAAGCCAGCUUGACUGCGAGCGUGACGGCGCGAGCAGGUGCGAAAGCAGGUCAUAGUGAUCCGGUGGUUCUGAAUGGAAGGGCCAUCGCUCAACGGAUAAAAGGUACUCCGGGGAUAACAGGCUGAUACCGCCCAAGAGUUCAUAUCGACGGCGGUGUUUGGCACCUCGAUGUCGGCUCAUCACAUCCUGGGGCUGAAGUAGGUCCCAAGGGUAUGGCUGUUCGCCAUUUAAAGUGGUACGCGAGCUGGGUUUAGAACGUCGUGAGACAGUUCGGUCCCUAUCUGCCGUGGGCGCUGGAGAACUGAGGGGGGCUGCUCCUAGUACGAGAGGACCGGAGUGGACGCAUCACUGGUGUUCGGGUUGUCAUGCCAAUGGCACUGCCCGGUAGCUAAAUGCGGAAGAGAUAAGUGCUGAAAGCAUCUAAGCACGAAACUUGCCCCGA
rnacentral:rRNA from 1 species